UACAGAGGGUGCAAGCGUUAAUCGGAAUUACUGGGCGUAAAGCGCGCGUAGGUGGUUUGUUAAGUGGUAUGUGAAAUACCCCGGGCCGUCAACCUGGGAACGUGCAUCCAAAACUAGACUGACUAGAGUAUGGUAGAGGGUGGUGGAAUUUCCUGUGUAGCGGUGAAAUGCGUAGAUAUAGGAAGGAACACCAGUGGCGAAGGCGACC
rnacentral:rRNA from 1 species